rnacentral:rRNA from 1 species
UACGAAGGGGGCUAGCGUUGCUCGGAAUCACUGGGCGUAAAAGGGUGCGUAGGCGGGUCUUUAAGUCAGGGGUGAAAUCCUGGAGCCUCAACUCCAGAACUGCCUUUGAUACUGAAGAUCUUGAGUUCGGGAGAGGUGAGUGGAACUGCGAGUGUAGAGGUGAAAUUCGUAGAUAUUCGCAAGAACACCAGUGGCGAAGGCGGCUCACUGGCCCGAUACUGACGCUGAGGCACGAAAGCGUGGGGAGCAAACAGG